CCCAGGGAGGGGCUCUCCGGAGUGGACGUGGAGCUGGCCCUGGGGUCGCGGGGACUCAGCCAGCUGUCGCCUUCCUGCCGCGCUCUUAGCGCGUCCCGGUGUAGUGCUGGCUGCAGCCAAGCUGAGCCGGCGAGGAGGGCGGUGCUGGGUUUGAAGAUGCGCUGUGCCGGAGGCCCGCCUCCCCGCCGCGCCCGCCGCUUCAGCACCGCGGACAGCGGCCAGUCCCGCGCAGGAGCGGCCUCGCCCGGAGGCUACAGACACCGGCUGGACAAAGGCGAGCUCUCCUGGAGGAACGCGCGAGGGCGGCGAAACCGCAACUAGGCCUCUUAAAGCGCUUCGGCGUGGUCGGGAACCGGACCCGGCACCCAGGGCGUUAUCUGGGUCCAAUCAAGGCCGGAGGAGGGUGGCCCCUCGCGUGGGUCCAGCAUGGGAGGAGCCCAGAGAAGAAAAUUCCCGGAUGAGAUGGUGGUGUCCUUAUUCUGACUUGACUCCCAACACAGACCAGCAACGUGACCUUCAGCUUCCUUUCUCCUCUGGAAUAGAUGUGCUAAAACCAAGACAAUUCCCAGCCAGCUGUGCCAGCCUAGCCCUGCUGCCUCACUUCCUGUUGUGCUCUGAGCACCCACGGUUCCUCUUCUCCACCCUCUCUGUACUGGCUGGUUUUAUGUUAACUUGACACAAG